rnacentral:rRNA from 1 species
UACGGGGGGGGGCAAGCGUUGUUCGGAAUUACUGGGCGUAAAGGGCUCGUAGGUGGCCAACUAAGUCAGACGUGAAAUCCCUCGGCUUAACCGGGGAACUGCGUCUGAUACUGGAUGGCUUGAGUUUGGGAGAGGGACGCCGGAAUUCCAGGUGUAGCGGUGAAAUGCGUAGAUAUCUGGAGGAACACCGGUGGCGAAGGCGGCGUCCUGGACCAACACUGACACUGAUGAGCGAAAGCCAGGGGAGCAAACGGG